rnacentral:misc_RNA from 1 species
GAUGAAGAACGCAGCGAAAUGCGAUAAGUAAUGUGAAUUGCAGAAUUCGGUGAAUCAUCGAAUCUUUGAACGCACCUUGCGCCCGCCAGUAUUCUGGCGGGCAUGCCUGUUCGAGCGUCAUUUCAACCAUCAAGCCCCGGGCUUGUGUUGGGGAUCUGCGGCUGCCCGCAGGCCCUGAAAACCAGUGGCGGGCUCGCUGUCACUCCGAGCGUAGUAGCACUCGUAUCUCGCUCAGGGCGUGCCGCGGGCUCCGGCCGUUAAACCGCCUCUUUAGCACCCAAAGGUUGACCUCGGAUCAGGUAGGAGGACCCGCUGAACUUAAGCAUAUCAAUAAGCGGAGGA